rnacentral:rRNA from 1 species
AGGGAAUCUUCCGCAAUGGACGAAAGUCUGACGGAGCAACGCCGCGUGAGUGAUGAAGGUUUUCGGAUCGUAAAGCUCUGUUGCCAGGGAAGAACGUCCUGUAGAGUAACUGCUACAGGAGUGACGGUACCUGAGAAGAAAGCCCCGGCUAACUACGUGCCAGCAGCCGCGGUAAUACGUAGGGGGCAAGCGUUGUCCGGAAUUAUUGGGCGUAAAGCGCGCGCAGGCGGCUGUUUAAGUCUGGUGUUUAAUCCUGGGGCUCAACCCCGGGUCGCACUGGAAACUGGGCAGCUUGAGUGCAGAAGAGGAGAGUGGAAUUCCACGUGUAGCGGUGAAAUGCGUAGAGAUGUGGAGGAACACCAGUGGCGAAGGCGACUCUCUGGGCUGCAACUGACGCUGAGGCGCGAAAGCGUGGGGAGCAAAC